rnacentral:rRNA from 1 species
UACGUAGGAUGCGAGCGUUAAUCGGAAUUACUGGGCGUAAAGCGUGCGCAGGCGGUGAUGUAAGACCGAUGUGAAAUCCCCGGGCUUAACCUGGGAACUGCAUUGGUGACUGCAUCGCUCGAGUAUGGCAGAGGGGGGUAGAAUUCCACGUGUAGCAGUGAAAUGCGUAGAGAUGUGGAGGAAUACCGAUGGCGAAGGCAGCCCCCUGGGUCAAUACUGACGCUCAU